CGUGGUUUUUACGGUGAUAUUAGAGUCCGGGCAGGUAAAUGAGUGCCACACUUCUAUUCUGGGUGGUCAGGCGUUCGGUACAAAAUUCGUUAUUCGAACGUUCUCUUAUUGUAUAUGCAUUAAACGAAAGCCAUUACACGAACAGUCUUUGUUCUUAGGUACAGGGCCAUGUGGAUGAUGGCAGGAAAAAAGGUUGAGGUUCCCAGGCAACAUUGUAGGGGGUUGUUACACUGCCUUUCAUGUAAAACCCGCAUUUCGGGCAGUCUUUCGUAUCUUUCCUCACAUAGUUCCAAUUUGUAUAAUAUCUGUUUAAGUCCGUUCGUUUAAAUGUCAUGCAUAACCAUUAAUUCAUACACUGAUGCCUUUCAUAUAAACCCACUUUUCGUGCAAAUUUUCACGCUUACAAUUCACUCGUACUAUGCAAUGGUAGUUCCAUUUGUUUGUUCAGCCGGUCAUAGCUUUGCAUUUAUGAUUACUGCAUUAAGUGCAAAAAUUCAUCUGGUUCCCCAAGUCUUUCGUUUAAAAUUCCAAUGUUACAAAUUUAUCCCUAAACAAAUUGCAUAUUUGCUAAUGGCUGUUAUGUUCUCACAAAGUUCUAAAGUACUUUGUUAUACCUUUUCGGCUAAACCCUGCAGACUUUAGAGCAAUAGUGUACAUAUUUACAUAGGAAUUUUAAGUAUGUUAAAUAGCAUAAUUAGGUGACCGCUCUACGCUCCAGUUCUGAUUUCUAAUAUUUUACAGUCAUGCUCCAC